UAAAGUGCUGUCCUCAGUCCAUUAACCCAUUGCAGCCCCAGUUUGAGGAGGAGGCUUACAGUGGGGUUAUAAAUGCCUUAGARGAGCCAUCUGGGGAGGGAAGUUAAAUAAUGAAAAUGUUGACAGCCAUUCUUUACAUAGCCUAUACAUCAUUACCUAAUUUCUUUGCUUUUGUCUCCUGUUUUUAUAGGGCUUUUUCCCCCCCGAUCGAUAGUGUUCAUCCUACUCAGUGAACAUACUUGAUUCUGUUUUAUGGUGCAAAAAUUACUGUUGCUUUGACUGGCUCCUAUUACCAGCAGUGUCUUUGCUGCCCACUCUUUGGCCUUACCUAUCACAGGCAAACACUGCUUCCAGCUAGCACAGGUGUGGACCUACUCCUGCACUGGCUGUCCCCAAAACAUCUUGGGUUUCUUGAAAGGCCACUAAAUAAACUGAAAGUGGUCUCCAAGUUUCAUCAACUCUUUGGCUUAAUCAAGGUAGCAUAGCUUGGAUUACCAGUGAUUUAAACCACAACACGCACUUCUAUACAAUUCUAGUGUAUUUAUAUCUAGAGGAGGUUGAGUUGCACCUUCURCAAGCAGUCGCAGUUGAAGCUGAGCCCUGAGCUUUUCCUGGCAGUUGUACUUCCCGUGCCAAGGACGAGACAGCACAGCUCUCCACGCACAGCACCGCUCGGGACCAUCUCAGCCCGGGACACGCUGAGCCCCUGCCAGC
rnacentral:lncRNA from 1 species